UAUUUCUUUCCUAUUUCGAUAUGAGAAGCUUUUUUCCCUAUUCUUCUCAAAUUUGCCUACUUCGAUCUCGGGAAACUUUUCCCGAUUUCUUAUCAUUUUCGAUUCUGGGUCUGGUUUAAUUUAUUGAACUUUUAUUGAUUCUAGUUCCGAUUUCUUCGUCAUUUUCUAGAUUUAUGGUUAUGUGUUUUGUUUUCUCUUAUCCAAAUUGCAAAUCUGGAUUUCUAGUUCAAUGUUUCUGUGUUUUGUUUUCUGAAAUUUUGCAUUUUCAAUUUACAGAUUUGAAUCUCUUUUUUACAUUUUCUUUGGUUUCAGAUCUAAUAUUAUAGUUACAUCAUAUUGUUUUGCUUACUUUUAUUGAUUUUCGAUCGCAUCAUUGUUUCUUCACCUUCUCGGAGAGAUUUAUUCUACGAUGAUGUGUGACUUCCUUUUGGGGUAUUUGUCGUUCAUUUCAGAAAUUUUUCAUUACUUCAAUCACGAUCGUAAAAUCUAUCCCAUUUGUAUUUCAGGUUGUUCAACAUUUUAUAGGUUUUUAAUUUUAGUUUCUUCAAUUGCAUCUUUCACCAAUUAUGUAUGUUCAUUUUUUAGGGAUUCUUAAUUUCUUAUAAUUUCUCUCAGAAAAACCAAAGCGCUCUCUUGACGUCAACCGAAGUAAUGACUCUAAGAGUCGUCCCGUUCAGCCGCCACAAAUCGUCGUUGUAAGAUAUACAUAACUAGACGUGUUCAUGAUUAUGAGUCAUUAGCUAAGAAAGCUGAUGGUUCUCAAGGUAGUUAAGAGUUACUUGGCAGUUGGUAAAGAUAUUGCAUUAUCUAGAGGUAUGGUGGUGCUCCAUGAGUUUAUUCUAUGGAUGAUUAUUUUAUGAUUAAGGACAAUACCAUUUGCCUGGAACCUCAUUACAGCUGGUUACGUUGAACAAACUGUACAUGGGGUAGUUAUCAGCAUAAUUUGUCUUCUAUUCAUUGGCAAGCUACUUGAACCAGUAUGGGGUCCAAAGGAAUUUCUAAAGUUCAUCUUUAUAGUUAACUUCUUUGUGCAUUUUCAUCACCACUAUUACUUUAUACUACAUUACAAGACAGGAGAUUUAUCUGUAAGUGUUUGAAACCCAUUAUUACCAUAUGAGAUUAUAUUUUCUGUUGCUUGUGCUGUUACCUAUCUUAUCUUCUUCCCGUUUAAUAGAUUACCCUUUUUCCCAUAUCUGGCACUGCACUUUCAAACUCCAUUUUUCUAUUUGAAGCUUAAUACAGGACCAUUUGAAGUUUGAUUACUUGGUCUCUAUUUGCUUCAACACUAGAAAACAUUGUUGGUCAAGUAUUUAUGAAGCUAAAUUUAAAUAUUGAAAAUUUGAAACAAGCCUUGGAUUAUACACCACUUUCUGGAUUUCAUGGAGUUAUAUCUGGCUUCUUGGUUAGCAUCAAACAAAUUAUACCAGAUCAAGAGAUUCCUUUCCUCAAGAUAAAAAUGAAGGUUUUACUAUGCCAGAGUGCUUUCCAGGAGAUACUUAAGCAAAUGAUGAACAAGCAGUCAUCUGAUGAUGCAUGUGUUACUUCUGGAGAACUUUUGGAAGAGAUUGUUGCCAAAGAAAGCGCAAGUCUCAUGAAGGACUCACGAAGGAAAAGAGAGGACAUAGGCAAAGGCUUAGUUCAUGAUCAAUAUCAACUAAGGGAUGCAAAGACUGGAAAAGUGAUGCAAAGGCUUAGAACUUGAUCAAUAUCAACUAAGGUGUUGCUUCUUUUGUUAUCUACCGAUUUGAAAAGUUGGAAAAGUGAUAUUUUGUUGAUCAAAUAUUUUGUUUAGGAAGAUGAUUAUUGUUCUUUAUGAAAUUAGAUGUGAAUUCAUUUUCCACCAAGAAUUUGAAUUCAGAUUUACGAGUUGUAGGAGUCUAACUCCUUCUGCUAAACCUAAUAUGUCAUUGUUAAUAACGCAAUUGUUAUUACUUUGAUUAUAUGAUUAAUAGAAGAUUAAAAGGAUUGCUAUAUAUAAUGUUCCCAACUUUGUACUAUUCAAUUGCCAAUAAACAGGAUGCAGAACUUAUCACUUCUAAUUGUAAUGGAAUGAAAACGAGAAUGGCAAUAA